rnacentral:rRNA from 1 species
GAUGAACGCUAGCUACAGGCUUAACACAUGCAAGUCGAGGGGAAACGACAUUGAAAGCUUGCUUUUGAUGGGCGUCGACCGGCGCACGGGUGAGUAACGCGUAUCCAACCUGCCCACCACUUGGGGAUAACCUUGCGAAAGUAAGACUAAUACCCAAUGAUAUCUCUAGAAGACAUCUGAAAGGGAUUAAAGAUUUAUCGGUGAUGGAUGGGGAUGCGUCUGAUUAGCUUGUUGGCGGGGUAACGGCCCACCAAGGCGACGAUCAGUAGGGGUUCUGAAAGGAAGAUCCCCCACAUUGGAACUGAGACACGGUCCAAACUCCUACGGGAGGCAGCAGUGAGGAAUAUUGGUCAAUGGACGAGAGUCUGAACCAGCCAAGUAGCGUGCAGGAUGACGGCCCUAUGGGUUGUAAACUGCUUUUAUAAGGGAAUAAAGUGAGUCUCGUGAGACUUUUUGCAUGUACCUUAUGAAUAAGGACCGGCUAAUUUCGUGCCAGCCGCCGCCGUAA